GGUAAGGUGAUAUGAACCGUUGUAACCGGCGAUUUCCGAAUGGGGAAACCCAGUGUGAUUCGUCACACUAUCAUUAACUGAAUCCAUAGGUUAAUGAGGCGAACCGGGGGAACUGAAACAUCUAAGUACCCCGAGGAAAAGAAAUCAACCGAGAUUCCCCCAGUAGCGGCGAGCGAACGGGGAGCAGCCCAGAGCCUGAAUCAGUGUGUGUGUUAGUGGAAGCGUCUGGAAAGGCGCGCGAUACAGGGUGACAGCCCCGUACACAAAAAUGCACAUAUUGUGAGCUCGAUGAGUAGGGCGGGACACGUGGUAUCCUGUCUGAAUAUGGGGGGACCAUCCUCCAAGGCUAAAUAC
rnacentral:rRNA from 1 species